rnacentral:rRNA from 1 species
UACGUAGGGUGCAAGCGUUGUCCGGAAUUAUUGGGCGUAAAGAGCUCGUAGGCGGUUUGUCGCGUCUGCUGUGAAAAUCCGAGGCUCAACCUCGGACUUGCAGUGGGUACGGGCAGACUAGAGUGUGGUGGGGGAGACUGGAAUUCCUGGUGUAGCGGUGGAAUGCGCAGAUAUCAGGAGGAACACCGAUGGCGAAGGCAGGUCUCUGGGCCAUUACUGACACUGAGAAGCGAAAGCAUGGGGAGCGAACAGG